UGCCAGGGUGCUACAGGACAAACUGGAUA
rnacentral:piRNA from 1 species